rnacentral:rRNA from 1 species
UACGAAGGGGGCUAGCGUUGUUCGGAAUUACUGGGCGUAAAGCGCACGUAGGCGGAUACUUAAGUCAGGGGUGAAAUCCCGGGGCUCAACCCCGGAACUGCCUUUGAUACUGGGUAUCUCGAGUCCGAGAGAGGUGAGUGGAAUUCCGAGUGUAGAGGUGAAAUUCGUAGAUAUUCGGAGGGAACACCAGUGGCGAAGGCGGCUCACUGGCUCGGGUACUGACGCUGAGGUGCGAAAGCGUGGGGAGCAAACAGG